rnacentral:tmRNA from 1 species
GGGGACGACAGGCUUCGACGCAGUCGGUCCGUGCGGAGGGUUGCAGGUCGAGGAUGCCGAUGGCCUCGUAAAAAAUCGGCAAAAACCAAUACGUGCGGACCAUGAGUUCGCCCUCGCCGCUUAGCUGAUACCUAAGCGAUGAGAGUCGGUCCUCCCUCGGCCCGUGGGGAGGGGCACCGGCUUCAGAAACGGGCUCGCCCGCGAGGAGCGCCCCGGCCUCGAGGGGACAUUCAGGGGCUCGGUCUCUCGCAGUGCCCGCCGGCACGGCCCCCGGGAGGCGACAACAAAGCGCCGGCUAAGCCUGUAGAUACUGUUCGUCACGCGGCUGCGGACGCGGGUUCAAUUCCCGCCGUCUCCACUA